rnacentral:rRNA from 1 species
CCUGUACCUAUGUAUUGUGUGAUGGAGUGACGGAGAAGGUUAUUAUGUGCCAGUAAUCGGAUUCUGGUUUAAAUAACAAGGUUGACAAAUAGGCAAAUCCGUUUGUCAUAAGACUAAGUUAUGAGUACGAUCGACCCCUUCGGGCAGUAGAGAAGACAUAUAUAUCAUGCUUCCAAGAAAAGCUUCUAGCGUUAAACAAUAUGUAGUUCGUACCGAGAACGAACACACGUAGUCAAGGAGAAUAUCCUAAGGUUAGCGAGUUAACUACAGUUAAGGAACUCUGCAAAUUGAUCCCGUACGUUAGCAAUAAGGGAUGCUCACUUAACGGUGAGCCGCAGUGAAUAGCGAGGGGGGACUGUUUAACAAAAACACAGCUCUAUGCUAAGUCGUAAGACGAUGUAUAUGGGGUGACACCUGCCCAAUGCUGUAAGGUUAAAGAAGAAUGUUAG